AUUCUAAUUGCAAACCCGCCGAAAAGCGGGCUCCUUCGAGGGUAUUAGAACAGGUGUUGCACGGCUGUCGUCAGCUCGUGUCGUGAGAUGUCGGGUUAAGUCCCACAACGAGCGCAACCCCUAUCACCUGUUGUAUCACUCAGGUGAGACUGCUCGCGUAAGCGAGAGGAAGGUGGGGACGACGUCUAGUCAGCGUGGCCCUUAUGCCUUGGGCGACACACGCGCUACAAUGGCCGAGACAAAAAGUUGCAAUCCGGCGACGGUGAGCUAAUCUUUAAACUCGGCCUCAGUUCAGAUUGUUCUCUGUAACUCGGGAGCAUGAAGUCGGAAUCGCUAGUAAUCGCAGGUCAGCCAUACUGCGGUGAAUACGUUCUCGUUCCUUGUACACACCGCCCGAAGGGC
rnacentral:rRNA from 1 species